rnacentral:misc_RNA from 1 species
GACAUAGAUGAGGAACUUGGAGAAGAAAUGAUACGAGAGAUGAUGUGGAAAGAAAUGCUUCAUUACCACCCCGAGGAUCUGGAAGAACACGCAGAAAUGACAUGUUUCCACCCCGAACAUACUACAAGUAGUACUGCAGUGUAUUCUUGACUGAAUCUUGUAAGCAAUCCAGCUUAGAGACCUUGGAAGAUGAUGAUGGUGACAAACAUUCAGUUCCUUCCGUCGAAUAGCUCGGUACUUAUCUAGUAACUUCCUUCUGCUGCCCCGCCCUCGUCACCUAGGGAAAAAUGGUGGUCCUGUAAUAAUGAAUAAUAAUGUUGAAACAAG